GAGUUUUGAUCCUGGCUCAGGACGAACGCUGGCGGCGUGCUUAACACAUGCAAGUCGAACGAUGAAGCCCAGCUUGCUGGGUGGAUUAGUGGCGAACGGGUGAGUAACACGUGAGUAACCUGCCCUUGACUCUGGGAUAAGCGCUGGAAACGGCGUCUAAUACCGGAUACGACCUGCCCCGGCAUCGGGUGCGGGUGGAAAGUUUUUCGGUCAAGGAUGGACUCGCGGCCUAUCAGCUUGUUGGUGAGGUAAUGGCUCACCAAGGCGACGACGGGUAGCCGGCCUGAGAGGGUGACCGGCCACACUGGGACUGAGACACGGCCCAGACUCCUACGGGAGGCAGCAGUGGGGAAUAUUGCACAAUGGGCGAAAGCCUGAUGCAGCAACGCCGCGUGGGGGAUGACGGCCUUCGGGUUGUAAACCUCUUUUAGUAGGGAAGAAGGACUUCGGUUUGACGGUACCUGCAGAAAAAGCACCGGCUAACUACGUGCCAGCAGCCGCGGUAAUACGUAGGGUGCAAGCGUUGUCCGGAAUUAUUGGGCGUAAAGAGCUCGUAGGCGGUUUGUCGCGUCUGCUGUGAAAACCCGAGGCUCAACCUCGGGCCUGCAGUGGGUACGGGCAGACUAGAGUGCGGUAGGGGAGAAUGGAAUUCCUGGUGUAGCGGUGGAAUGCGCAGAUAUCAGGAGGAACACCGAUGGCGAAGGCAGUUCUCUGGGCCGUUACUGACGCUGAGGAGCGAAAGCGUGGGGAGCGAACAGGAUUAGAUACCCUGGUAGUCCACGCCGUAAACGUUGGGAACUAGAUGUGGGGACCUUUCCACGGUCUCCGUGUCGCAGCUAACGCAUUAAGUUCCCCGCCUGGGA
rnacentral:rRNA from 1 species